rnacentral:rRNA from 1 species
UACGAAGGGGGCUAGCGUUGUUCGGAUUUACUGGGCGUAAAGCGCACGUAGGCGGAUCGUUAAGUCGGGGGUGAAAUCCUGGAGCUCAACUCCGGAACUGCCUUUGAUACUGGCAAUCUUGAGACUGGAAGAGGUUAGUGGAAUUCCCAGUGUAGAGGUGAAAUUCGUAGAUAUUGGGAAGAACACCAGUGGCGAAGGCGGCUAACUGGUCCAGUACUGACGCUGAGGUGCGAAAGCGUGGGGAGCAAACAGG